UACGAAGGGGGCUAGCGUUGCUCGGAAUCACUGGGCGUAAAGCGCACGUAGGCGGCUUCUUAAGUCAGGGGUGAAAUCCUGGAGCUCAACUCCAGAACUGCCCUUGAUACUGAGAGGCUCGAGUCCGGGAGAGGUGAGUGGAACUGGGAGUGUAGAGGUGAAAUUCGUAGAUAUUCGCAAGAACACCAGUGGCGAAGGCGGCUCACUGGCCCGGUACUGACGCUGAGGUGCGAAAGCGUGGGGAGCAAACGGG
rnacentral:rRNA from 1 species